rnacentral:rRNA from 1 species
GCGGCGGACGGGUUAGUAACGCGUGGGAACGUACCCUUUACUACGGAAUAGCCUUUGGAAACGAAGAGUAAUACCGUAUACGCCCUUUGGGGGAAAGAUUUAUCGGUAAAGGAUCGGCCCGCGUAAGAUUAGAUAGUUGGUGGGGUAAUGGCCUACCAAGUCUACGAUCUUUAGCUGGUUUGAGAGGAUGAUCAGCAACACUGGGACUGAGACACGGCCCAGACUCC